rnacentral:rRNA from 1 species
AUUGAACGCUGGCGGCAGGCCUAAUACAUGCAAGUCGAGCGGAGCGGCGGACGGGUGAGUAAUGCCUAGGAAUCUGCCUGGUAGUGGGCGAUAACGUCCGGAAACGGGAGCUAAUACAGCAUACGAUAAGAUGAGUUUAGGUCGGCUUAGCUAGUUGGUGGGGUAAAGGCCUACCAAGGCGACGAUCCGUAACCGGUCUGAGAGGAUGAUCAGUCACACUGGAACUGAGACACGGUCCAGACUCCUACGGGAGGCAGCAGUGGGGAAUAUUGGGCAAUGGGCGAAAGCCUGAUCCAGCCAUGCCGCGUGUGUGAAGAAGGUCUUCGGAUUGUAAAGCACUUUAAGUUGGGAGGCGUUACCAACAGAAUAAGCACCGGCUAACUUCGUGCCAGCAGCCGCGGUAAUAC